AUCCAGACUCCUACGGGAGGCAGCAGUGGGGGAUAUUGCACAAUGGGGGAAACCCUGAUGCAGCGACGCCGCGUGAGUGAAGAAGUAUUUCGGUAUGUAAAGCUCUAUCAGCAGGGAAGAAGAAAGACGGUACCUGAGUAAGAAGCCCCGGCUAACUACGUGCCAGCAGCCGCGGUAAUACGUAGGGGGCGAGCGUUAUCCGGAAUUACUGGGUGUAAAGGGAGCGUAGACGGCGAAGUAAGCCUGAAGUGGAAGCCCGCGGCCCAACCGCGGAACUGCUUUGGGAACUGCUUUGCUGGAGUAUGGGAGGGGUAAGCGGAAUUCCUGGUGUAGCGGUGAAAUGCGUAGAUAUUAGGAGGAACACCAGUGGCGAAGGCGGCUUACUGGACUGUAACUGACGUUGA
rnacentral:rRNA from 1 species